GUAGUCCACGCCGUAAACGAUGGGCACUAGGUGCCUGGGGGAGCGACCCCCCGGGUGCCGGCGCUAACGCAUUAAGUGCCCCGCCUGGGGAGUACGGCCGCAAGGCUGAAACUCAAAGGAAUUGACGGGGGCCCGCACAAGCGGUGGAGCAUGUGGUUUAAUUCGACGCAACGCGAAGAACCUUACCUGGGCUUGACAUGCGCGGGAAAGCCCCCAGAGACGGGGGCCCCUCUUCGGAGUCCGCGCACAGGUGCUGCAUGGCUGUCGUCAGCUCGUGUCGUGAGAUGUUGGGUUAAGUCCCGCAACGAGCGCAACCCCCGCCCCUAGUUACCAGCGGAGCGAGCCUAAUAAGCUCAAGCCGGGGACUCUAGGGGGACUGCCGGUGCCAAACCGGA
rnacentral:rRNA from 1 species